GAAUCUUGCGCAAUGGGCGAAAGCCUGACGCAGCAACGCCGCGUGGAGGAUGAAGGCCCUUGGGUUGUAAACUCCUGUCGGCUGGGAAGAACUCGUUCGCGGUUAAUACCCGCGGACGUUGACUGUACCAGCAACGGAAGCCCCGGCUAACUCUGGGCCAGCAGCCGCGGUAAUACAGAGGGGGCCAGCGUCAUUCGGAAUUAUUGGGCGUAAAGGGCGCGUAGGCGGCCAUGCGUGUCUUCCGUGAAAUCCCUCGGCUCAACCGAGGACGUGCGGAAGAAACUGCAAGGCUCGAGUCCGGAAGAGGGGGGCGGAAUUCCCAGUGUAGCGGUGAAAUGCGUAGAUAUUGGGAGGAACACCAGUGGCGAAGGCGGUCCCCUGGGCCGGAACUGACGCUGAGGCGCGAAAGCGUGGGUAGCAAACGGG
rnacentral:rRNA from 1 species